GAAGCUGACCAGACAGUCGCCGCUUCGUCGUCGUCCUCCUUCGGGGGGAGACGGGCGGAGGGGAGGAAAGUCCGGGCUCCAUAGGGCAAGGUGCCAGGUAACGCCUGGGGGGUGUCACAGCCCACGACCAGUGCAACAGAGAGCAAACCGCCGAUGGCCCGCGCAAGCGGGAUCAGGUAAGGGUGAAAGGGUGCGGUAAGAGCGCACCGCGCGGGUACGGCCCGUACUGAACCCGGGUAGGCUGCUUGAGCCAGUGAGCGAUUGCUGGCCUAGAUGAAUGACUGUCCACGACAGAACCCGGCUUAUCGGUCAGUUUCACCU
rnacentral:RNase_P_RNA from 1 species